rnacentral:rRNA from 1 species
GACGAACGCUGGCGGCGUGCUUAAAACAUGCAAGUCGAACGAAGUGGCGAACGGGUGAGUAAAGCGUAAUCAACCUGCCCUUCAGAGGGGGACAACAGUUGGAAACGACUGCUAAUACCGCAUACUGAAGGAGGGGAUUGGGUCUGAUUAGCUAGUUGGUGGGUUACCGGCCCACCAUGUAGAUGAUCAGUAGCUGGUCGGAGAGGAUGGAGGGACACAUUGGGACUGGGACACGGCCCAUACACCGACGGGAGGCAGCAGUGGGGAAUCUUCCGCAAUGGACGAAAGUCUGACGGAGCAACGCCGCGUGAGUGAUGACGGCCUUCGGGUUGUAAAGCUCUGUUAAUCGGGACGCGGUACCGGAAUAGAAAGCCACGGCUGACUACGUGCCAGCAGCCGCGGUAAUUC